rnacentral:rRNA from 1 species
ACGCCAAUCAGCUAGCUCCGCCCAUAACUUCAACAAAUAAAUUUCACUAACCCAACAUGCAUGUAAAUUCAACUUGACUAAACCAUUCUUUUCCCUAGUAUAGGCGAUAGAAAAGGAACCCAGGGAGCGAUAGAGAAAGUACCGCAAGGGAAUGCUGAAAGAGAGAUGAAAGAGACCAGUUAAGCCAUAAAAAGCAGAGAUAAACCCUUGUACCUUUUGCAUCAUGAUUUAGCUAGUACAAUUAAGCAAAGAGAACUUUAGUUUAAAGCCCCGAAACCGGGUGAGCUACUCCAAGACAGCCUAGUAUAUAGGGCAAACCCGUCUCUGUGGCAAAAGAGUGGGAAGAGCUUUGAGUAGGGGUGACAGACCUACCGAACCUGGUUAUAGCUGGUUGCCUGAGAGCCGGAUAAAAGUUCAGCCUUAAAAGAUUCUUCACUCGAAACAACCUCAAAAUUGUAUAGACAUACUUCAAGAAACUUUAAGAGUUAGUCAAAGGGGGUACAGCUCCUUUGACCAGAGACACAACUCUUUCAGGAGGGUAAAGAUCAUAGUAUUCUAAAGGAUCUCCGUCUUAGUUGGCUUGAAAGCAGCCACCACCACAGAAAGCGUUUAAGCUCGUACAAACCCCACUCCUUUAAUUCCGAUAAUUUUAUCUUAUCCCCCUAACUUUAUCAGGCCGCCCCAUGCCCCCAUGGGUGUGAUUAUGCUAAUAUGAGUAACAAGAUGGGCCAACUACGCCCCUCUCCCAGCACACGUGUACAUCGGAACGAACCCCCCACCGAAAAUUAACCGGCCCCAAACAAAGAGGGAAGUUGGUAUGAAUUUAAGAAACUAGAAAACCACCCACAACAUUAACCCCGUUAAAUCUACACCGACGUGCAAUCCAGGGAAAGACUAAAAGAAAAAGAAGGAACUCGGCAAACACUAACUAAGCCUCGCCUGUUUACCAAAAACAUCGCCUCUUGCUACACAAGAAUAAGAGGUCCUGCCUGCCCAGUGACAACCCAAGUUCAACGGCCGCGGUAUUCUGACCGUGCGAAGGUAGCGUAAUCACUUGUCUUUUAAAUGGAGACCUGUAUGAAUGGCAAGACGAGGGCUUAACUGUCUCCUUUUUCAAGUCAGUGAAAUUGAUCUCCCCGUGCAGAAGCGGGGAUAAUUACAUAAGACGAGAAGACCCUGUGGAGCUUUAGACGCAAGACAGACUAUGUCACUAACCCCAAAAUAAAGGGCACCAAACUAAUAAGACCCUGUUCCUCCGUCUUCGGUUGGGGCGACCAUGGGGAACUAAAUACCCCCCACGCGGACUGGGAGCUUAAUCCCAUAUUUCUUUCUUUCUCCGCUCCCAAAACCAAGAGCCACCACUCUAACUAGCAGAACUUCUGACCAGAAAUGAUCCGGCAACGCCGAUCAACGGACCAAGUUACCCCAGGGAUAACAGCGCAAUCCCCUUUUAGAGCCCAUAUCAACAAGGGGGUUUACGACCUCGAUGUUGGAUCAGGACAUCCUAAUGGUGCAGCCGCUAUUAAGGGUUCGUUUGUUCAACGAUUAAAGUCCUACGUGAUCUGAGUUCAGACCGGAGCAAUCCAGGUCAGUUUCUAUCUAUGACGCAAUCUUUUCUAGUACGAAAGGACCGAAAAGUAGGGGCCCCUACUACAAAGCACGCCCCCCUCCAACCUAAUGAAACCAUCUAAAUUAGACAAAGGAGGGCAUCCACCGAUACCGAAGAGCCCGGUAAC